rnacentral:rRNA from 1 species
GAGGCUUCGGCAAUGGGGGAAACCCUGACCGAGCGACGCCGCGUGGAGGAUGAAGGCCUUUGGGUUGUAAACUCCUUUUGUUCGGGAAGAAGUGCGAUCAGGUGAACAAUCUGGUCGUCUGACGGUACCGGACGAAUAAGCUCCGGCUAACUCCGUGCCAGCAGCCGCGGUAACACGGGGGGAGCAAGCGUUGUUCGGAAUCACUGGGCGUAAAGGGCGUGUAGGCGGCCAGGUAAGUGAGAUGUGAAAUUCCCCGGCUCACCCGGGGACCUGCAUCUCAUACUGCUUGGCUUGAGUACGGGAGAGGAUGUGGGAAUUCCUGGUGUAGCGGUGAAAUGCGUAGAUAUCAGGAGGAACACCGGUGGCGAAAGCGCACAUCUGGCCCGAUACUGACGCUGAGGCGCGAAAGCUAGGGGAGCAAAC